AGGACGAACGCUGGCGGUGUGCUUCACACAUGCAAGUCGAACGAGGUAGCAAUACCUAGUGGCGGACGGGUGAGUAACGCGUGGGAAUCUGCCUUUGAAUGGGGGAUAACGGGCCGAAAGGUCCGCUAAUACCGCAUAGGCCGCAAGGUUAAAGGAGUAAUCCGUUCAAAGAUGAGCCCGCGUCCGAUUAGCUAGUUGGUAGGGUAAAAGCCUACCAAGGCGACGAUCGGUAGCUGGUCUGAGAGGAUGAUCAGCCACAAUGGGACUGAGACACGGCCCAUACUCCUACGGGAGGCAGCAGUGGGGAAUUUUACGCAAUGGGCGAAAGCCUGACGUAGCGACACCGCGUGAGCGAAGAAGCCCUUUGGGGUGUAAAGCUCUGUCGGCUGGAACGAAAAAAUGACGGUACCAGCAAAGGAAGCAUCGGCUAACUACGCGCCAGCAGCCGC
rnacentral:rRNA from 1 species